UACGUAGGUGGCAAGCGUUGUCCGGAUUUACUGGGCGUAAAGAGCGCGCAGGCGGUCGUUCAAGUCGCGUGUGAAAGCCCCCCGGCUCAACUGGGGAGGGUCACGCGAUACUGAUCGACUCGAAGGCAGGAGAGGGAAGUGGAAUUCCCGGUGUAGCGGUGAAAUGCGCAGAUAUCAGGAGGAACACCAAUGGCGAAGGCAGCUCGCUGGGACGGUACUGACGCUGAGACGCGAAAGCGUGGGGAGCAAACAGG
rnacentral:rRNA from 1 species